CAAAGGUUAAUUCCGGUGGCGGAUGGGCAUGCGUCGCAUUAGUUAGUUGGCGGUGUAACGGACCACCAAGACGACGAUGCGUAGGGGUUCUGAGAGGAAGGUCCCCCACACUGGUACUGAGACACGGACCAGACUCCUACGGGAGGCAGCAGUGAGGAAUAUUGGUCAAUGGGCGGGAGCCUGAACCAGCCAAGUCGCGUGAGGGAUGACGGCCCUAUGGGUUGUAAACCUCUUUUGCCGGGGAGCAAAGUGCCGCACGUGUGCGGUUUGGAGAGUACCCGGAGAAAAAGCAUCGGCUAACUCCGUGCCAGCAGCCGCGGUAAUACGGAGGAUGCGAGCGUUAUCCGGAUUUAUUGGGUUUAAAGGGUGCGUAGGCGGACGCUUAAGUCAGCGGUAAAAUUGCGGGGCUCAACCUCGUCGAGCCGUUGAAACUGGGUGCCUUGAGUGGGCGAGAAGUACGCGGAAUGCGUGGUGUAGCGGUGAAAUGCAUAGAUAUCACGCAGAACUCCGAUUGCGAAGGCAGCGUACCGGCGCCCAACUGACGCUGAAGCACGAAGGCGUGGGUAUCGAACAGGAUUAGACACCCUGGUAGUCCACGCAGUAAACGAUGAAUGCUAGUUGUCCGGGGCGAUUGAGUUCUGG
rnacentral:rRNA from 1 species